rnacentral:rRNA from 1 species
AUUGAACGCUGGCGGCAUGUUUUACACAUGCAAGUCGAACGGUAACAGCACUUCGGUGGCUGACGAGUGGCGAACGGGUGCGUAAUACAUCGGAACGUGCCUAGUAGUGGGGGAUAACUACUCGAAAGAGUAGCUAAUACCGCAUGAGAUCUAAGGAUGAAAGCAGGGGACCUUCGGGCCUUGCGCUACUAGAGCGGCUGAUGGCAGAUUAGGUAGUUGGUGGGAUAAAAGCUUACCAAGCCGACGAUCUGUAGCUGGUCUGAGAGGACGACCAGCCACACUGGGACUGAGACACGGCCCAGACUCCUACGGGAGGCAGCAGUGGGGAAUUUUGGACAAUGGGCGCAAGCCUGAUCCAGCAAUGCCGCGUGCAGGAUGAAGGCCUUCGGGUUGUAAACUGCUUUUGUACGGAACGAAAAGCCCUCUUCUAAUACAGGAGGGUCAUGACGGUACCGUAAGAAUAAGCACCGGCUAACUACGUG